GGAAAGAUGGCCUAGGAUUGAAAAACACAAAUAUUUUCUAAGGUAGUGGGGUCCCAGCCCUGCCCGAAGAUGUUUGCAAAUGCACAGAAGGCAGGGGCAGCCCCCUGGGGAUUUUGAUUCAUCAGAUUAGCUUUGCUCCACGUGAGGCAGAAAACUGUGUUUCUAGUCAGCUGAUGGGAGUCAGGAGAAAGGGGAGAAGAAAGACUGGCUGCAGGAAGAAAGGGAGGAGAAGAGAAGUAAAUAAAAGAGGGAAGAGAGGGAUGGAGGCAGAAGAGGGACAGUGGCUUGGAGUGAGGAGAAGUGAAGUGGUUCACUAGAAGAGAACCAAAAAGACAGAGGAAAGAGGGAAGUGAAAAUGGCCUCGCCCUCAGCUUCUGCUUCUGGGGCCCUCUGCCUCCAGCCUCCCCGCUCACCCAGCUCUACUCUGGGCCAAGAGCAGCUGGGGUCCCUCCUUCCAUGGUGCCAGGUGAGGACAGUGCUCUGCAGGCACCUGGGGGCAGUUUGGAGCCUAAUCCUGGCUGGGAUCCUGGGACUGUGGCACGGGGACCCUCCUGCUCCUUGAACACCAUUCGGGCCUAGCCUCCACUCCAGACACUUUCCGUGCAACUUGACCAGAACAAAUCCACACCUGUCACCCACCACCAGGAGCUUCCACCCUUCGAUUCCCUCCUGGGAACUUCACAUAGGCCUGAUAUGCUUUCUCUGCACCAAAGCCUCCCUCUUAGGUGGCUCAGUUAGCACCAGGACUCAGCUGUGCCGCUCAUC
rnacentral:lncRNA from 1 species